AGCAGUCGCCGCGGGAAUACCGAGGGUGCAAGCGUUAAUCGGAAUUACUGGGCGUAAAGCGCGCGUAGGUGGUUUGUUAAGUUGGAUGUGAAAUCCCCGGGCUUAACCUGGGAACUGCAUCCAAAACUGGCAAGCUAGAGUAUGGUAGAGGGUGGUGGAAUUUCCUGUGUAGCGGUGAAAUGCGUAGAUAUAGGAAGGAACACCAGUGGCGAAGGCGACCACCUGGACUGAUACUGACACUGAGGUGCGAAAGCGUGGGGAGCAAACAGGAUUAGAUACCCGCGUAGUCCCUGUCUCUUAUAC
rnacentral:rRNA from 1 species